AUGGGCUCUGCAGGCCGCCAUUAUCGGGCAGCUCGCGCCUCCGCUGCCGCCGCCUCCAGUCAGCAGCCGGCGCGCGCCCCCGUGGUGCGCGCGGACACACCCCCUUACGCCGACGGCCCCGCCCCCCUCCGGCUUUCCGUAGCGCGAGCCGGGACGUUCCGCGCCACCGACGAAGCGCGCGGCCGGCGGUCCGCUCGCCUCCUCCCUCUCCCGAGGAUUUGCAGAGCCGGGAGUCGUCGGAGGUGUGCGCGCUCCGGAGCGCACCACUGGUGCUGCUCCCCACAGGGGUGGCCGGGCCCUGGAACCGCGAGGCCACGCCACGCCGGGGCUCGGCCACCCUCCAGCUGCAGCGGGCGCUCAGGGCCCGCGGCCCCAGGGACGGUCUGCAGCGGCAGGUCCGGGCCUGGGGCUGCGCGCGCCCGGCCGCGGCCUCCCCUCCCCUUACCCGCCCCUCUUCCGACCUACCGAGCUGCGGGCUGGGGUGCGGGGCUCGCUGGGGUGGAACGCCCGGUGCAUCUUCCGCGCGGGUGUCGGGUGCUUGCGGGGCGCGGUGCUCUUUGGCGGGCCCGCCGGGAGGUGCGGCCCGACCAAGGAGGCCUGGCGUCCGCCCCGCCGGGAGGGAGACUGCAGCUUUUGUUCGAGUCACUGAGCCAUGUUUGCGGGCAGUGCAGUUACCGAGACGGCGGCGGCGGCGGCGGCGCGGGGCUGGGUGCGAUCAUCUGGGAGGACGCCGUCCCCUGCCCCGCCGGCGCGGUGGUAUCUCCCUUAAAGAAGCCAGCGCCUCAUUGUUCCCCGGCCGCGGCCGCAGGGAGCCAGGGCCACCUCCUCGGCGUGGGGAGUGAAGGGACGGCGGCGCCUGCACCUGGCUGCGGUGCCCGUGGCGCCCCCCGGAGGCUCCUGGUGGAGGGUUGGCCUGCAGUCGGCGCGCGGGAGAAGCCUCGGUAUGAGCCAGGAUCCACCGCGCUCCGUCCGCUCUCGGGGCGGGACAGUCAAUGGGGGCCCCGCCGCUGCCGCAGUCGCUCGGCUGCCACACGCUGUCAGUCAGAUCCCUCACGCUGUCGGCCUCACAGCCAGCCCGGGGUCACUCAGGCCCGCAUCUCUUAG
rnacentral:lncRNA from 1 species